CCUACGGGAGGCAGCAGUGGGGAAUAUUGCACAAUGGGGGAAACCCUGAUGCAGCGACGCCGCGUGAGUGAUGAAGUAUUUCGGUAUGUAAAGCUCUAUCAGCAGGGAAGAUAAUGACGGUACCUGACUAAGAAGCUCCGUCUAAAUACGUGCCAGCAGCCGCGGUAAUACGUAUGGAGCAAGCGUUAUCCGGAUUUACUGGGUGGAAAGGGUGCGUAGACGGUAUGGCAAGUCUGAUGUGAACGUCUGGGGCUCAACCCUGGGACUGCAUUGGAAACUGUACGGCUAGAGUGCAGGUGAGGUAAGUGGAAUGCGUGGUGUAGCGGUGAAAUGCGUAGAUAUUAGGAAGAACACCAGUGGCGAAGGCAGCUUAC
rnacentral:rRNA from 1 species